UUUCCUACGGGGGGCAGCAGUGAGGAAUAUUGGUCAAUGGACGAGAGUCUGAACCAGCCAAGUAGCGUGAAGGAUGACUGCCCUAUGGGUUGUAAACCUCUUUUGUCAGGGAGCAACGCCGGCUACGUGUAGCCGGACUGAGAGUACCUGAAGAAAAAGCAUCGGCUAACUCCGUGCCAGCAGCCGCGGUAAUACGGAGGAUGCGAGCGUUAUCCGGAUUUAUUGGGUUUAAAGGGUGCGUAGGCGGUCGGAUAAGUUAGAGGUGAAAUCCCGAGGCUCAACUUCGGAAUUGCCUCUGAUACUGU
rnacentral:rRNA from 1 species